CUUCAUGACAGGUGGUGAUGUUAUAAAAGGUAAUCUAUAUCAAGGGUUCAGUACAAAUUAGUCUCGGAGCCUGAUACAAUAUGCAAUUUAUUCUAAAGUACUGUAUCGUCAGUGUGAUAUUUUCCAAGGUAAGUCUGAAUCGUGAGUGGUCAGCACACAUGGUGGCUGCUAUCCGAUAGGGCAAUUCAACAGACACUGCUAAUUAGCAUACUAUAUAUUUAAAAAUGGACUUUUAUGGGGAAACUAGUGUCUUGUUAAUUGUCAUGAAAGGUUCUCGUGGGCAAAAUUAAAUGGAUUCAAGGCUGGCCAGAAUAGCUUUCAUGACUAGGGGGUAAGAAUCCAUGAACUCUCCUUCAGUCCCUAGCGACAGUGGCUGAGGCCUGUGUCUGUUGGUCCAGUCCACUUGCCAAUACAGGAGUAUUAUAGAAUCUUACCCCAGGAAUAUUGCUGCAUCUACCUCAAGAAAACCUUAUAUACAGGGUGUGGUCUCCUUAUAUACAAGGAGAGAGAGCUGGGACUCCAUCCAGCUUACAGAAGAGGAUGCUUCUGGGCUGGCUUCACUAUUAAAUGAAUAUGGAUCUCUUAUGUGUGAGGCAGAUUCCAAAUGCUGUCAGUCUAAUUUGGUAGAUUUAAGGGAGCAGCUCACUCACCAGCUCUGAUUGGUCACGUGACUGACCAAACGCAACCGGCUUGAUGACCUUUGAAAACGUUUCAAUUGUGUAAGGGAGAAAGGCUCUUUUAGAAAAUUCUUACAGGGGAAGUCUGUAAAAAUCGCAGUUGGUAAAUAAUGUUUAGACAAAGCUUCGUACCUACUGGGAACUCAAAAAGUAUGUAUGAAUGAGAGAGCAGCGAACUGAUGGUUUCUAUAGACAGAGGAGCCAACAUUCUACAGGCUACAUGCACUGUCUGCCAAGGACACAGUCAGAUGCUAGGUUCCCUGUGGUUAGUAAAGGCCUCCUUGAAGAGAAACAUCAUUAUCCAGGCCUGUGGAAAGCAGCCCCAGGCUGUGCACAUGCGGCCCACAUGGGUUUUCUUUCUUUUUUUUUUGUUUUGAGGAGAGUCUCACUGUGUCGCCCAGUCUGCAGACUGCUGCUCCAUCCUGCACUCUAA
rnacentral:lncRNA from 10 species